CCUUGAACGUGUUCGGAGCUCUGUAAAACAUUUAUUAAAAACCGUCUAGUCUACACCACAGGAUGGAUGUAAAGGAUUUCGCAGUAAAGAUACUCUACUUCAUUUCCAUUCUCUCAAAUCACUAUGUGAAGGGAUAUGGCUCAAGCUUGAAGUGUUGUUUUGAAGUUUUGACAAACCUCUCGGUUUCCUAUCAUCUCAAUGAGCCACCUGGAGACUUCUGUACACCAACAUGGUCAGAAAUGGAAUACGUUGUGGUUGACGAACAUGGAUAUGUGGAUGAGACGAAGGUAGUGUAUCUUGAACCACAGAAGUUAAUUCUCAAACAAAACAUGAAUGAGAUGGUCAAAGAGGUCACAUACCGAAAGGACUGUCAACGGCAUGCUUACACUGCCAGUUGCCAUGAUCCUUGUAAUGCUUUGGACCUGCUCAGAACUACUCCAGCCACUCAAGCACCUGGUUAUCAAUGCAUUAUCUAUAUCACUGGUGGUGUCAUCAUCAUCAUCAUCAUCAUCAUCAUCAUCAUCAUCAUCAUCAGUGUCAUCUGUCUCCGAAGAAAGUACCAAUCUUCAAGUGUUACCUUUAGGUGGAUUUGGAAAGCAGUGCCAAAGUAUGAAAUUCCAGCUGUCUUGGUCUCUGAUGCCACCAGAACCAAGACUUUUAAUGAUGAUAACAUGGAAUAAGACAAAAUAAAAAUCAAUUCAUGCUCACACGAAAAAUAUACUAAAAUAAUGGUAACCUAAAAAUUGUAGCAUCUAAAUGGGGGGGGUUUAAACCAGGUAGAAACAACUCUUUAAGGUAACAAUUGCAGGUCAUCACUUUUUACAGUAUAAGCAUGAGUGAGAGCUGUUUAUUAUGUAAUACAGCUGUGGAAGCUUAAAAAAUAAUACUAUUGAUUAUUUUUAUGAUUAUAUUAUAUUAUAUUACUCUUUAUAUCAG
ensembl:lncRNA